CCUACGGGAGGCUGCAGUGAGGAAUAUUGGUCAAUGGCCGCAGGGCUGAACCAGCCAAGUCGCGUGAGGGAUGACGGUCCUAUGGAUUGUAAACCUCUUUUGUCAGGGAGCAAAGGGCGCCACGUGUGGCGCUUUGCGAGUACCUGAAGAAAAAGCAUCGGCUAACUCCGUGCCAGCAGCCGCGGUAAUACGGAGGAUGCGAGCGUUAUCCGGAUUUAUUGGGUUUAAAGGGGGCGCAGGCGGAAUGACAAGUCAGCGGUAAAAUUUCGGGGCUCAACCCCGUCGUGCCGUUGAAACUGGCGUUCUUGAGUGAGCGAGAAGUAUGCGGAAUGCGUGGUGUAGCGGUGAAAUGCAUAGAUAUCACGCAGAACUCCGAUUGCGAAGGCAGCAUACCGGCGCUCAACUGACGCUCAUGCACGAAAGCGUGGGUAUCGAACAGGAUUAGAUACCCGGGUAGUC
rnacentral:rRNA from 1 species